GACAGAGGGGGCAAGCGUUGCUCGGAAUUACUGGGCGUAAAGGGCGCGUAGGCGGUUCGAUAAGUCAGCUGUGAAAACCAUGGGCUUAACUCAUGGCCUGCAGUUGAGACUGUCGGGCUGGAGUGUGGGAGAGGAGAGUGGAAUUCCUGGUGUAGCGGUGAAAUGCGUAGAUAUCAGGAGGAACACCGGUGGCGAAGGCGGCUCUCUGGACCACAACUGACGCUGAGGCGCGAAAGCUAGGGGAGCAAACAGG
rnacentral:rRNA from 1 species